AACGACGCUGGCGGCAUGCCUAACACAUGCAAGUCGAACGAGACCUUCGGGUCUAGUGGCGCACGGGUGCGUAACGCGUGGGAACCUGCCUUUAGGUUUGGGAUAACAGUGAGAAAUUGCUGCUAAUACCAAAUAAUGUCUUCGGACCAAAGAUUUAUCGCCUUUAGAUGGGCCCGCGUAGGAUUAGCUAGUUGGUGAGGUAAUGGCUCACCAAGGCGACGAUCCUUAGCUGGUCUUAGAGGAUGACCAGCCACACUGGGACUGAGACCACGGGCCCAGACUCCUACGGGAGGCAGCAGUGGGGAAUAUUGGACAAUGGGCGAAAGCCUGAUCCAGCAAUGCCGCGUGAGUGAUGAAGGCCUUAGGGUUGUAAAGCUCUUUACCAGGGAUGAUAAUGACAGUACCUGGAGAAUAAGCUCCGGCUAACUCCGUG
rnacentral:rRNA from 1 species